rnacentral:rRNA from 1 species
CUUGAACGCUGGCGGCAGGCCUAACACAUGCAAGUCGAACGAGUGGCGGACGGGUGAGUAAUGUCUGGGAAACUGCCUGAUGGAGGGGGAUAACUACUGGAACCGGUAGCUAAUACCGCAUACCAUCGGAUGUGCCCAGAUGGGCUUAGCUAGUAGGUGGGGUAAAGGCCUACCAAGGCGACGAUCCGUAACUUGUCUGAGAGGAUGAUCAGUCACACUGGAACUGAGACACGGUCCAGACUCCUACGGGAGGCAGCAGUGGGGAAUAUUGGACAAUGGGCGAAAGCCUGAUCCAGCCAUGCCGCGUGUGUGAAGAAGGUCUUCGGAUUGUAAAGCACUUUAAGUUGGGAGGCGUUACCAACAGAAUAAGCACCGGCUAACUUCGUGCCAGCCGCCGCGGUAAUUC